rnacentral:lncRNA from 1 species
GUGGGUCACCACAUGUUGUCCUCACCAUCAUCGUUUCCUGUAGAAAUAAAAUGCCUAAGGAGAGAAGGGAGAUAUGAAAUAUGAAUAUCUACUUUAACAAGGGUAGAGGAAAACAUAUACUCCUGCAUGGGCAAAUAAGGUUCAAAAUCAGAGACUCUAUAAUGUUGCAAUAUUUGGAAACAAAGAGAAAAAAACAGAAUUAUUAAAUAACCAACCCCAUAUGUGUAAUCAUUAACUUAAACAUCAUUCUAAAUAAUAAGAAACAUUUAGGGACAUCAAAUUUCUCAAGAUAGAUAACAGAAACAAAGAACGGUUUGGCCCCACUGAUCAACUAAACUUUGGUUUAAAUUCUCUUCUUCCCUCAUGCCCCUGCAUUUUGAUCCAACACAGCCUGAACCUGCACACAACCCAUCUUUAAUACCCAACUAUUGGGUACUUGGGUUUAAUACCUAGGUGAUGAAAUAAUAUGUACCACAAACUACCAUGACAUGUGUUUACCUAUGAAACAAAGCUUCGCAUGUGCCUCCAAACCUAAAACAAAAGUUAAAAAAAGAAGAUAUUUGUUAUGACAUAUCACUAUGUCCUUGGGAGAAAUAUUGUUGCCAGUUAACUCUUCAACUAGUUUGUCUGUGUUUUUUAUUUUAGCCAUAUAAAAGACAAGACAGGUUUUUAGCAUUCCAACUGAUUUUUAUUUUCUCAGUCUCCUCUUGCCCAAAUUCUGACUUCAUUAUUUUGUGAGACAAAGAUCUUCAUCAUUGUCCAUUUUGCUUUGAUUAGAUGGCUGAUUGGACAGGUGGACUAAAGUCAAUCUUUAGUAUUUUUUCAUUGUAAGAUUAACUAUUGAGUCAUUUGAUAUGACAAUGGGUUCACAGUAGUUUUAAAGAUUAUGCACAACACAUAUUUGAGUGGAAUAACACAGAAAAAUACAAAGGAAAAUAUUUGGAGUUUACAUCUUAACAAAUAUUUGGAGUUUGGAUCUUAACAAUCACAUAGGCUGCCAUCUAUAUAAUUCAUGUAACAGACAAACAAGAUUUGUUGUAAUUUUCAAUAUGGGAAUAUUCACUUUUAAAUAUAAUUAUGUAUUCUACGCAUAAGUUGGAAUGAAAAUCUUCAUGUGUACUUCUCACAUUGAAAUUCUAAGUUUAAAUGUAUAUUUAUUUUCUAAGAAUAAAAUGCUACAAUAAUUAAUAUGAUUACAUAGGUGUAUAAAGCUCACCAGCUUGUACACUGAGAUUUAAUGUUUUAUUUUUGCUACACCUCAAUUAAAAAUCUUUUUUAGAAGAUAAAGUGUCAGUGAAGAUAAUUUUCUUCCCUGAGGUUAUAUAACAUUUUGUUACAAGGAUAAGAUGCAGCAAAAAUUAUCAUGAAACUAAUUGUGAAAAUACACUUAUCUUUGAAAGUUCUUAACUAUUUGUUUACAUAAAACAAUAACAGAGUUAAGAAUAUUCAAAUAUAAGUAAAUAACAAAAUAGGCCAGGCAUGGUGGCUCACGCCUGUAAUCUCAGCACUUUGGGAGGCCCAGGCAGGUGUAUCACCUGAGGUCAGUUCAACACCAGCCUGGCCAGUAUGGUGAAACCCCAUCUCUACCAAAAAUACAAGAAUUAGUCAGCUAUGGAAGCGCAAGCCUGUAGGUAGUCCCAGCUACUCAGUAGGCUAAGCAGGAGAAUCGCUUGAACCUGGGAGGCAGUGGUUGCAGUAAGCUGAGAUCGUGUCACUGUACUCCAUCCUGGGCAACAGAACAAGACUCCAUCUCAAAAAAAAUAAAAUAAAAUACAUUGGUGGUAUAUUACAAUUUUAAGAGAAAAUGUGAAAGAUGGCUAAGUAGUUGAGUUAUUAUUUGUACCCAGGUUGCCUGACUCUACAGCCUACAUGUGAAACCACAAAAUUCCAUUAAAUGAAUACAAUAUGUAAUUGCCUGCCUGGUAAACUGUGAAUAUUUUACACACAGUGAACCUUUUGGAAAAAUAGACUUUCCAGUGUUAUUGGUAUAAGAUGGUAGCCCAAAUUCAUUGGUGGGGUGGUGGGGGCAGUGGGCAAGAAUCUUACAUCCAAUGAACAAACUCUGAAAAGAAAGCUUAAUGUUUCUCAUAGUUUUUAUGAUUCUCAAAAAAGAAAAAAAAAAGAAAAAAAAAGAGAUAACUAAGACAUGUGAUGAGCACCUUUAAAUACUCGAAGGUUCCCCAAAUACUAAUUCAGGGAAUGUCAUACCCAAGCCUGUAGCUGGCAGAUGACAAAACACUACUGCUCCUGUGUAGACACAUAAUUAAAUAUAAAAACAUAACCACACCAUCAGUCUUGGAAAAUAAUACAUAUGGUUGCCACAUAUCACUUAAUCACCACAUUUUCAUCUUCCCAGACUAAGAGUUUAGCCUACUUUUACUUGGUUAUUAACAAAUACAU